rnacentral:rRNA from 1 species
AGCAGUCGCCGCGGUAACACGGAGGGGGCUAGCGUUGUUCGGAAUUACUGGGCGUAAAGCGCACGUAGGCGGCUUGGUAAGUUAGAGGUGAAAGCCUGGAGCUCAACUCCAGAAUUGCCUUUAAGACUGCCGAGCUAGCAGGUGAGAGAGGUAAGUGGAAUUCCGAGUGUAGAGGUGAAAUUCGUAGAUAUUCGGAAGAACACCAGUGGCGAAGGCGGCUUACUGGCUCAUACUGGACGCUGAGGUGCGAAAGCGUGGGGAGCAAACAGGAUUAGAUACCCGUGUAGUCCCUGUCUCUUAUAC